GAUUAAUAGCUAUAGUAAUUUCUUAAAAAAAAAAUACCACGAAAGCCUAAAUUCUUUCCCGGCCACGUUCUCCAUCUCCUUCCUUCCCCCACCACGACUUCCACAGUUAAGCAUCAAAUUUCCAAUCUAAUUAAAAAUUUCAAUCCCAAUCCAAGUUGACUCAAACCGAAAUUUCCCAAAUCCUAAAUGACAGAGUUCCCUUCGAUCAGAAUCCAGAGCUUUUUCGUACUUUCAAUUCUCCGGCGAACGUUUCUGGGCGGGGAAGUAUUAUCUGGCGAACAUAUUUUCUUGUUGUGUGUGGUUCAAUUACCAAGUCAAAGCCUUUGAAUCACUCUUAGUCAUCUUGAAAUCUGCCAAAGAUUUGCUCAAAUAGGUUCACGAUUCCAGUAAAUUUUAUCAGCUGGGUAACACACUCCAUCCCUAGUGUCCUCCAACUUUUCGAUUUGUAAUGGAUGGAGAAAUGCUUGAUUAUUUGCUUGCGAAGGAUUUGAUCCUAUAAGUAAGUGCAGCAUGUUCUUGAUUGGUAGUUGGGAGAGAACUAAGAAUUGCAAAUCUGGUAAUUGAACCCUUCUAUUUACAGAUGAGCACAAUUUCUCUUUACCCAAACACAAGAUGAGGAAAUCAUGUACCACAAACUAGGUAAAUAACGCGCAUUUUAGAUAAUUAUACCCAUUACUCACAGCCCAGCGUCAAUCUGUCAUUGGUGGAUAUGACCGUGAGAACAAGACUUUCUUUGGGAAUCUCUUAAACACGUGAAAACAAAAAUAUUACAGACUCUAGAGACUGGAAGAAUGUACGGGCUCCAGCGAAGAAAAAAUUUCCAAUGCUGCAGCAAAAGAAUUCAGGACAAGACUUAUAUUCCCUAUGCACCUGUUUACAGUGAUGAUCAAGUGAGGAUAAUCUUUCUCGUGGGAACCUGGCUGCUAUUAAGAUUUAAAUGUUUCUAGAAUCACGAAGACUUCAGCUUGUAUAUGCUGAUCUCUGGGAGAUGCUAAUGUUGUAUCCUUAUCGUGACAAGCCAUUGUUUAUGUGCUAUUAUUCUUUCCUUUGGGCCUUUUCUAUCAGAAUUAGAGAUAAAUAUGUGUUGGAUUCAACAAUAUUAUCUAGAAUAUUUGAAGAUGUAUUGUAUUUUUCUUUGUUCAAUUAUGCCUAGACAUUAUAUGUGUUUUUACUACUUAUCUUAACUUUCUCAUUUUGUAGUACUUUCAUUAUUUGCAAUGUUCUGAGUUAUGAUCAAGAACAAAAUGACGAAGUUAGAGCUCAAUGGACGCGUCAUGUUCUUCUCAUGGGAGUUUUUCAAUGGCUUGCUCUGAUGUUGGAGUUUGAUGUUGUUCCUCUUUCCUGAAUUUAAUGAUCAGUUGGAAAAGCAAAUAUUUGCCCGCUGUUGCUUAUGCUCCAAUGUUUGCAUUGAAGACAUGUACCUAUCAAAUGGUGAGUGGAUGGGAUAGCCAUAAAGAGUGGAAGGAAUGAAUUGCCUUUGGUCGCCCUAGCUCUAACACCACCAUACGAAGGAUAACCGGAUCAUCGAAAUUUGCUGGAAUUGCUAUUGGUUGUGAGAUGUGUGGCGGUGUAGAGAAUGAGUUGGCAGAACAUAUUAACCUUUUCAAAUGAAAACGUUCUAAUUUUAGUGUGUGGAUUUGAAAUUAAAAGAAGUACUAUAUGACAGGGAUACUUAUUUUCUGUUUCUAGUGUGUAUUUUUGUAGUGUGUUUAAUUUUGGCAUAUAUGAUCUUAAGUUAUGAGACAAUGAGACGUUUAUUUGAUCUACGAUAGAAAUGAAAUUGGAUCUUUUAUAUAUAUAUAUAUAUAUAUAUAUAUAUAUAUAUAUGUAUAUUUUCA